rnacentral:lncRNA from 1 species
UCGGUGUGGAUGUAUCGUUGGUGUUGAUGUCCUCAUCAAAGAGGACUUGUGUGCUGAUGAUUCUUUUAGUCCUAUGCCACAAGUAGUUAAUAAGUGGGAUACUUUUGGUUUGGAACCAUACAAAUAUACUGAAGAGAAACUUUUUAUUCCUAUUACUUGUGCACAAGAUGAACUAAAAUUGUUGUCUUCUUUAAAUACUUUGGGUUAUAUUGAAUUUGAUAUUCUGUGUAAUCUAAAUUGUCUAAAAGAGAAACUUAAAUUUGAUUCUGGUUUGCUAAGUUUUAAUCAUUGUUCUCUUCAUGCAACUGGCAAAUAUGACAGCAAAGGAGAAUAUUUGGUGCAUAAAGUUUA